rnacentral:tRNA from 2 species
GCAGUCGUGGCCGAGUGGUCAAGGCGAUGGACUAGAAAUCCAUUGGGGUCUCCCCGCACAACAGGUCCAAAUCCUGUCAACUGCG